GACGAACGCUGGCGGCGUGCCUAAUACAUGCAAGUCGAGCGAGACUCUUCGGAGUCUAGCGGCGGACGGGUGAGUAACACGUGGGCAACCUGCCUGUAAGACUGGGAUAACACCGGGAAACCGGUGCUAAUACCGGAUAAUCCUUUUCUUCUCAUGAGGAAAAGCUGAAAGUCGGUCUCGGCUGACACUUACAGAUGGGCCCGCGGCGCAUUAGCUAGUUGGUGAGGUAACGGCUCACCAAGGCGACAAUGCGUAGCCGACCUGAGAGGGUGAUCGGCCACACUGGGACUGAGCCACGGCCCAGACUCCUACGGGAGGCAGCAGUAGGGAAUCUUCCACAAUGGACGAAAGUCUGAUGGAGCAACGCCGCGUGAGCGAUGAAGGCCUUCGGGUCGUAAAGCUCUGUUGUUAGGGAAGAACAAGUACCGGAGUAACUGCCGGUACCUUGACGGUACCUAACCAGAAAGCCACGGCUAACUACGUGCCAGCAGCCGCGGUAAUAC
rnacentral:rRNA from 1 species